GGGUUGUGAGGUUAAGCGACCAAGCGUACACGGUGGAUGCCCUGGCAGUCAGAGGCGAUGAAGGACGUGCUAAUCUGCGAUAAGCGCCGGUAAGGUGAUAUGAACCGUUAUAACCGGCGAUUUCCGAAUGGGGAAACCCAGUGUGACUCGUCACACUAUCAUUAACUGAAUCCAUAGGUUAAUGAGGCGAACCGGGGGAACUGAAACAUCUAAGUACCCCGAGGAAAAGAAAUCAACCGAGAUUCCCCCAGUAGCGGCGAGCGAACGGGGAGGAGCCCAGAGCCUGAAUCAGCAUGUGUGUUAGUGGAAGCGUCUGGAAAGGCGCGCGAUACAGGGUGACAGCCCCGUACACAAAAGCGCAUGUGCUGUGAGCUCGAUGAGUAGGGCGGGACACGUGAUAUCCUGUCUGAAUAUGGGGGGACCAUCCUCCAAGGCUAAAUACUCCUGACUGACCGAUAGUGAACCAGUACCGUGAGGGAAAGGCGAAAAGAACCCCGGCGAGGGGAGUGAAACAGAACCUGAAACCGUGUACGUACAAGCAGUGGGAGCCCCACCACUAAGCCAGUGGUGAGUUCCAUGAUGCAUCCUUUGCGGAAGGUGCGGUUAACGGAGCGAAAGCGACGUUCAACCUCAAAAGAAGCAGAGGGGGCUUAGUGGUGGGGUGACUGCGUACCUUUUGUAUAAUGGGUCAGCGACUUAUAUUCUGUAGCAAGGUUAACCGCAUAGGGGAGCCGAAGGGAAACCGAGUCUUAACCGGGCGUUAAGUUGCAGGGUAUAGACCCGAAACCCGGUGAUCUAGCCAUGGGCAGGUUGAAGGUUGGGUAACACUAACUGGAGGACCGAACCGACUAAUGUUGAAAAAUUAGCGGAUGACCUGUGGCUGGGGGUGAAAGGCCAAUCAAACCGGGAGAUAGCUGGUUCUCCCCGAAAGCUAUUUAGGUAGCGCCUCGUGAACUCAUCUCCGGGGGGUAGAGCACUGUUUCGGCUAGGGGGCCAUCCCGGCUUACCAACCCGAUGCAAACUGCGAAUACCGGAGAAUGUUAUCACGGGAGACACACGGCGGGUGCUAACGUCCGUCGUGAAGAGGGAAACAACCCAGACCGCCAGCUAAGGUCCCAAAGUCAUGGUUAAGUGGGAAACGAUGUGGGAAGGCCCAGACAGCCAGGAUGUUGGCUUAGAAGCAGCCAUCAUUUAAAGAAAGCGUAAUAGCUCACUGGUCGAGUCGGCCUGCGCGGAAGAUGUAACGGGGCUAAACCAUGCACCGAAGCUGCGGCAGCGACGCUUAUGCGUUGUUGGGUAGGGGAGCGUUCUGUAAGCCUGCGAAGGUGGCCUGUGAGGGUUGCUGGAGGUAUCAGAAGUGCGAAUGCUGACAUAAGUAACGAUAAAGCGGGUGAAAAGCCCGCUCGCCGGAAGACCAAGGGUUCCUGUCCAACGUUAAUCGGGGCAGGGUGAGUCGACCCCUAAGGCGAGGCCGAAAGGCGUAGUCGAUGGGAAACGGGUUAAUAUUCCCGUACUUGGUGUUACUGCGAAGGGGGGACGGAGAAGGCUAUGUUGGCCGGGCGACGGUUGUCCCGGUUUAAGCGUGUAGGCUGACUUUCCAGGCAAAUCCGGAGAGUCAAGGCUGAGGCGUGACGACGAGGCACCACGGUGCUGAAGCAACAAAUGCCCUGCUUCCAGGAAAAGCCUCUAAGCAUCAGGUAACAUCAAAUCGUACCCCAAACCGACACAGGUGGUCAGGUAGAGAAUACCAAGGCGCUUGAGAGAACUCGGGUGAAGGAACUAGGCAAAAUGGUGCCGUAACUUCGGGAGAAGGCACGCUGACACGUAGGUGAAGUGAUUUACUCAUGGAGCUGAAGUCAGUCGAAGAUACCAGCUGGCUGCAACUGUUUAUUAAAAACACAGCACUGUGCAAACACGAAAGUGGACGUAUACGGUGUGACGCCUGCCCGGUGCCGGAAGGUUAAUUGAUGGGGUCAGCGCAAGCGAAGCUCCUGAUCGAAGCCCCGGUAAACGGCGGCCGUAACUAUAACGGUCCUAAGGUAGCGAAAUUCCUUGUCGGGUAAGUUCCGACCUGCACGAAUGGCGUAAUGAUGGCCAGGCUGUCUCCACCCGAGACUCAGUGAAAUUGAACUCGCUGUGAAGAUGCAGUGUACCCGCGGCAAGACGGAAAGACCCCGUGAACCUUUACUAUAGCUUGACACUGAACAUUGAGCCUUGAUGUGUAGGAUAGGUGGGAGGCUUUGAAGCGUGGACGCCAGUCUGCGUGGAGCCGGCCUUGAAAUACCACCCUUUAAUGUUUGAUGUUCUAACGUGGACCCGUGAUCCGGGUUGCGGACAGUGUCUGGUGGGUAGUUUGACUGGGGCGGUCUCCUCCUAAAGAGUAACGGAGGAGCACGAAGGUUGGCUAAUCCUGGUCGGACAUCAGGAGGUUAGUGCAAUGGCAUAAGCCAGCUUGACUGCGAGCGUGACGGCGCGAGCAGGUGCGAAAGCAGGUCAUAGUGAUCCGGUGGUUCUGAAUGGAAGGGCCAUCGCUCAACGGAUAAAAGGUACUCCGGGGAUAACAGGCUGAUACCGCCCAAGAGUUCAUAUCGACGGCGGUGUUUGGCACCUCGAUGUCGGCUCAUCACAUCCUGGGGCUGAAGUAGGUCCCAAGGGUAUGGCUGUUCGCCAUUUAAAGUGGUACGCGAGCUGGGUUUAGAACGUCGUGAGACAGUUCGGUCCCUAUCUGCCGUGGGCGCUGGAGAACUGAGGGGGCUGCUCCUAGUACGAGAGGACCGGAGUGGACGCAUCACUGGUGUUCGGGUUGUCAUGCCAAUGGCACUGCCCGGUAGCUAAAUGCGGAAGAGAUAAGUGCUGAAAGCAUCUAAGCACGAAACUUGCCCCGAGAUGAGUUCUCCCUGAGACUAUAAGUCUCCUGAAGGAACGUUGAAGACGACGACGUUGAUAGGCCGGGUGUGUAAGCGCAGCGAUGCGUUGAGCUAACCGGUACUAAUGAACCGUGAGGCUUAACCUUACAACGCCGAAGCUGUU
rnacentral:rRNA from 2 species